GUGAGGGGGGGGGGGGGGUUGGGGGUCUUGGGGGGCCCCAUUUGGGGUCACAGGAUGGGUUGGGGGGCUCCAUUUGGGGUCUUGGAGUGGGGUGGGGUCUCCAUUUGGGGUCUUGGGAUGGGUUGGGGGGCUCCAUUGGGAUCUUGGAGUGGGGUGGGGUCUCCAUUUGGGGUCACAGGAUGGGUUGGGGGGCUCCAAUGGGGUCUCCAUUUGGGGUGGGUUCUCCAUUUGGGGUCAUGGGAUGGGUUGGGGGUCUCCAUUUGGGGUCACGGGAUGGGUUGGGGGCUCCAAUGGAGUCCUGGGAUGGGUUGGGGGGCUCCAAUGGGGUCUUGGAGUGGGGUGGGGUCUCCAUUUGGGGUCACGGUAUGGGUUGGGGGCUCCAAUGGGGUCUUGGGAUGGGUUGGGGGGCUCCAUUGGGAUCUUGGAGUGGGGUGGGGUCUCCAUUUGGGGUCUUGGAGUAGGGUAGGGGCUCCAGUGGGGUCUCCAUUUGGGGUCUUGGGAUGGGUUGAGGGCUCCAAUGGGGUCUCCAUUUGGGGUAGGAUCUGCAUUUGGGGUCAUGGGAUGGGUUGGGGGUCUCCCUUUGGGGUCACGGGAUGGGUUGGGGGUCUCCAUUUGGGGUCUUGGAGUGGGUUGGGGGGCUCCAAUGGGGUCUUGGAGUGGGGUGGGGUCUCCAUUUGGGGUCAUGGGAUGGGUUGGGGGGCUCCAAUGGGGUCUCCAUUUGGGGUGGGUUCUCCAUUUGGGGUCAUGGGAUGGGUUGGGGGUCUCCAUUUGGGGUCACGGGAUGGGUUGCGGGCUCCAAUGGAGUCCUGGGAUGGGUUGGGGGGCUCCAAUGGGGUCUUGGAGUGGGGUGGGGUCUCCAUUUGGGGUCUUGGAGUGGGGUGGGUCUCCAUUUGGGGUCGUGGGAUGGGCUGGGGGCUCCAAUGGGGUCUUCAUUUGGGGUGGGGUCUCCAUUUGGGGUCACGGGAUGGGUUGGGGGGCGCCGGUUCUGAACUUUGGGGUCUUGGGAUGGGUUGGGGGCUCCAUUUGGGGUCUCGGAGUGGGGUGGGGUCUCUAUUUGGGGUCGUGGGAUGGGCUGGGGGCUCCAAUGGGGUUAUGGGAUGGGUUGGGGGUCUCCAUUUGGG
ensembl:lncRNA